ACUCCUACGGGAGGCAGCAGUGGGGAAUAUUGGACAAUGGGAACCGUAGCAUCAGCCAUGCCGCGCUGUGUGAAGAAGGCCUUCGGGUUGUAAAGCACUUUCAGUGGGGAGGAAAGGUUGAUGGUUAAUACCUAUCAGCUGUGACGUUACCCACAGAAGAAGCACCGGCUAACUCCGUGCCAGCAGCCGCGGUAAUACGGAGGGUGCAAGCGUUAAUCGGAAUUACUGGGCGUAAAGCGUGCGCAGGCGGUCUGUUAAGCGAGAUGUGAAAGCCCCGGGCUCAACCUGGGAACUGCAUUUCGAACUGGCAGACUAGAGUCUUGUAGAGGGGGUAGAAUUCCAGGUGUAGCGUGAAUGCAGU
rnacentral:rRNA from 1 species